rnacentral:rRNA from 1 species
GACGAACGCUGGCGGCGUGCUUAACACAUGCAAGUCGAACGGUGAAGCGCCUUCCUUUUUGGUGGGUGUGGAUGAGUGGCGAACGGGUGAGUAACACGUGAGUAACCUGCCCCCUUCUUCUGGAUAACCGCAUGAAAGUGUGGCUAAUACGGGAUAUUCUGGGUCUGUCGCAUGAUGGGUCUGGGAAAGAUAUUGUUUCGGUGGGGGAUGGGCUCGCGGCCUAUCAGGUUGUUGGUGGGGUGAUGGCCUACCAAGGCGGUGACGGGUAGCCGGCCUGGGAGGGUGGACGGUCACACAGGGACUGAGAGACGGCCAAGACUCCUACGGGAGGCAGCAGUGGGGAAUAUUGAACAAUGGGCGCAAGCAUGAUGCAGCGACGCCGCGUGAGGGAUGGAGGCCUGCGGGUUGUGAACCUCUUUCGCCAGUGAAGCAGGCCUGCCUCGUUUGUGGGUGGGUUGACGGUAGCUGGAUAAGAAGCGCCGGCUAACUACGUG